rnacentral:lncRNA from 1 species
GGGGGGGGGGGAGGGCCAAAAAAGUGGGAAAAAAAAAAAAAAAAAACAAACGCCCAAAAAAAAUAUUUUUUUAAAAAAAAAAUUAUAAAAAAAAUCGAUGAGACCGUUUUACGUAUUCCUCACGUUCUUGUUAAGAGAUUAGCCAUCAUAUAAUACGAGAAGAAUGAAUAUUAUGAGUUAUGACGCGUUUAAUAUUCAUAACACGAAUUUUGUACAAGUUUUCGUGCGGAAACGAGUUCCAUGACAUUGAUUAGGUAUAAAAAUAUGACUAUUUAUGGUAGCGAUUAUCCUAAUAAAUGUUGUGAUUAUAAAUUAUAAUCCGGAGGCAGCAGCAGCAGCAACAGCAACAUAUUCCAGACAAGAAUCUACUUAACUAAACAUAAGUUUGUAGACUUUUAUAUGUAUGUGGGUUUAUAGGGCGUUGACUCUUCUUCCAAUGGCUCGAAUUAAUGCAAUUUCAUAAAUUCAUAAGGAGAAAAAAAAAAUGGCGCAAGGUUAAGAUAAUCGCGAAUUUUCUCGUGUUUAAGGUUGUUUACACUCGUAGAAAGCGUGUUAUUUGCGUGAUAUCCACAAACUCAGCCAGUUUACAUACGCAAGAACAUAUGAGUCACGGAGAAGUAAAUUCGAUCAUUAUAAUAAUUAAAUGGAUGGCAGAACCUUUUUUUUUUUUUUUUUUUUUUUUUUUU